AUUGAACGCUGGCGGCAGGCCUAACACAUGCAAGUCGAGCGAGCGGCGGACGGGUGAGUAAUGUAUGGGGACUGCCCGAUAGAGGGGGAUAACUACUGGAAACGGUGGCUAAUACCGCAUAAUAUGGGCAAACCCAUAUGGGAUUAGCUAGUAGGUGGGGUAAAGGCUCACCUAGGCGACGAUCCUUAGCUGGUCUGAGAGGAUGAACAGCCACACUGGGACUGAGACACGGCCCAGACUCCUACGGAGGCAGCAGUGGGGAAUAUUGCACAAUGGGCGAAAGCCUGAUGCAGCCAUGCCGCGUGUAUGAAGAAGGCCUUAGGGUUGUAAAGUACUUUCAGCGGGGAGGCGUUACCCGCAGAAGAAGCACCGGCUAACUCCGUGCCAGCAGACGCGGUAAUAC
rnacentral:rRNA from 1 species